UAGGGAAUCUUCGGCAAUGGGGGGAACCCUGACCGAGCAACGCCGCGUGAGUGAAGAAGGUUUUCGGAUCGUAAAGCUCUGUUGUUAAGGAAGAACGAGUGUGAGAAUGGAAAGUUCAUACUGUGACGGUACUUAACCAGAAAGGGACGGCUAACUACGUGCCAGCAGCCGCGGUAAUACGUAGGUCCCGAGCGUUGUCCGGCUUUAUUGGGCGUAAAGCGAGCGCAGGCGGUUAGAUAAGUCUGAAGUUAAAGGCAGUGGCUCAACCAUUGUAGGCUUUGGAAACUGUUUAACUUGAGUGCAGAAGGGGAGAGUGGAAUUCCAUGUGUAGCGGUGAAAUGCGUAGAUAUAUGGAGGAACACCGGUGGCGAAAGCGGCUCUCUGGUCUGUAACUGACGCUGAGGCUCGAAAGCGUGGGGAGCGAACAGG
rnacentral:rRNA from 1 species